CAGGCGGCCGCGGGCGGAUCGGGUCUGCACGGCCGCGCGGCGUGGUCUCCGGAUCAGACGGGAAGCAGCUGAGGGCUGAUUCUCAUCUUGGCUGCAUCCGGGUGAACGAUGCUUUGAAGAGCAGCCCGCAGAUGAUCUGAUGCUCAAGAUGCCGCCUUGGCCGUGCUUUAGGGCUCCAGUGUCCACCACGGAGGAGCCCAGGUCUGAAUCUCUGCAGAGGUGCUCCAAGAAACCACUCCAUCGGGUCCGGGCAGGGAUGCGCUUCCUGCCGYGAGCUGUUCCCUCCUGUUGUCUUCCGUGCUUUUGGGAGCCAUCCCGGCCCGUGCUGGCCGGGAGUCCCGUGCAGACUCCCAGCUCCCGCGCUGGCCGGGCUGCCUGAGCCCGCUGCUGGUCCCCCGCGAGUGGCUCCGCUCCGAGCAGGGUGAACCGCGCAAUGAGCAGCAGACAACGGGAGAUGCGGCAGCUGCUUCCGCCGGAGCCGCUGGAGGAAGCUCUCGCGCGGCUGCAGGAGACCCGGCAGCGCCGUCGGGGCGGCAGCGUGGGCAGGGUGCUGCUGAUGGGCGCUCGCCUCCGAGCUGCCCGCUCCUCGCUGGCCGCGGACGAGGCGGUGUGRGCGGACGGUGCCUCCAGCCCAGGAGCUGCCUGCCGUGGGGCGUGCAAGGCCGAGGCUGCGGGUCCUGCUCCGGAGGCCCUGCUCUCGCUGGGGUUGAAGCUGGAAGGAUGCGUUUGCAUUCCCAGAUCUCUUCAGGAUCCCUUUUCCCCAUGUGGGGCAGUGCCAGGGACUCCCAGGUGAUGAGUCUCGGGGGCUCGUUGGGUCUCGCAGGACGGAGGGGCUCCUUCGAGCCUUCCUGCUGCCGCCGGGGCCCGCGCGUCCCUCCUGUUUGGCGACCGACCCUCGUGGCAGAGCCGUGCAGCGACGAGGGCUGUGUGUGAGCGGAGUUUGGAUUCCCAGGUCAUCUUCUCCCAGAUCCAGCAGGACAUAUCUCAGCUUCAUGGCCAGUUAGUUAUGGGCAAUGUAUUAAUUACUUUCUUAUGAGCAUCUGACCCACUGGCAAUUUUGAAAGGACUGUUAAGGUCGGCCSUGGUGCCUCAGCUUCCAAUCUCAGCUUCGGUCUGGGAACCAGCUAGUGCAAACUUCCCAUUUUUGUCCAUUCAGAAAAGGAGAAACAGUAAAAAAGACCUGGAAAUGUUGGAACCAGUUAUGUUAAAUGUYGUAAGGCUGGGGAGCUCUCGUCUCUUAAACAUCACUUUUCUUGAAAGCUGGCGAUGGGUUUCUUUUCCUCAUCUCAAACCCUGUGAGGUGGCUGUGCAGGAGAUGCGGAUUUGCAAGGGAGAGGAUCGGGGCAAUGGGAUCUCUCUCUUCCCAGCGCGUGGCCUGGAGCAUCCGGCAUUCCCRGCCGCGUGCCGAGGGCGGGCAGGCAGCGUGUGGGCAGCCCUGCAGCRGCGACCGCGCACGGACCAUCUGGAGAGCCCAGAAACCGCUUCUGCAGCGAUGCUGUACAAGUGUCUGAGAUGGAUUUGUGAGAGCACCGGAUGAAGAGGCAGCUAGGGCCAGCCUCAUACCGAGAUCAAAUAAAUACAAAUACAGCGAAAUUAUUCA
rnacentral:lncRNA from 1 species